rnacentral:misc_RNA from 1 species
GAUGAAGAACGUAGCGAAAUGCGAUACGUAAUGUGAAUUGCAGAAUUCAGGGAAUCAUCGAGUCUUUGAACGCACAUUGCGCCCCCUGGUAUUCCGGGGGGCAUGCCUGUCCGAGCGUCAUUGCUGCCCUCAAGCACGGCUUGUGUGUUGGGCCUCCGUCCUCCUCCCGGGGGACGGGCCCGAAAGGCAGCGGCGGCACCGCGUCCGGUCCUCGAGCGUAUGGGGCUUCGUCACCCGCUCUUGUAGGCCCGGCCGGCGCUUGCCGACACAUCAAUCUUUUUUCCAGGUUGACCUCGGAUCAGGUAGGGAUACCCGCUGAACUUAAGCAUAUCAAUAAGCGGAGGA